rnacentral:rRNA from 1 species
UUCCAGACUCCUACGGGAGGCAGCAGUAGGGAAUUUUGCGCAAUGGGGGAAACCCUGACGCAGCAACACCGCGUGAAUGUUAAGCCCUUCGGGGUGUAAAGUUCUGUCAAUAGGGACGAAUUUUGACUGUACCUAUAAAGGAAGCACCGGCUAACUCCGUGCCAGCAGCCGCGGUAAUACGGAGGGUGCGAGUGUUAAUCGGAAUUACUGGGCGUAAAGCGCUCGUAGGCGGUAUGUCAAGUCAAGGGUGAAAUCCCCGCGCUCAACGUGGGAACUGCCUUUGAAACUGGCAAACUGGAGUGUGUGAGAGGAUAGUGGAAUUCCAGGUGUAGGAGUGAAAUCCGUAGAUAUCUGGAGGAACAUCAGUGGCGAAGGCGACUAUCUGGCACAUAACUGACGCUGAGGAGCGAAAGCGUGGGUAGCAAACAGGAUUAGAUACCCCAGUA